GGACGAACGCUGGCGGCGUGCUUAACACAUGCAAGUCGAACGGAAAGGCCCUGCUUUUGUGGGGUGCUCGAGUGGCGAACGGGUGAGUAACACGUGAGUAACCUGCCCUUGACUUUGGGAUAACUUCAGGAAACUGGGGCUAAUACCGGAUAGGAGCUCCUGCUGCCUGGUGGGGGUUGGAAAGUUUCGGCGGUUGGGGAUGGACUCGCGGCUUAUCAGCUUGUUGGUGGGGUAGUGGCUUACCAAGGCUUUGACGGGUAGCCGGCCUGAGAGGGUGACCGGCAACAUGGGGAAGGGGAUACGGCCAGGGCGACUGGGGGAGGAAGCAGUGGGGAAUAUGGCACAAUGGGCGGAAGCUUGAAGCAGCAACGCCGGGGGCGGGAGGACGGGCUGCGGGUUGUAAACAGGUGCCGCCUGGGAAGAAGCGUGAGUGAAGGUAAGGUGUAAAGAAGCACCGGCUAACUACGUG
rnacentral:rRNA from 1 species